CGUUUUGGUCUUGUACCUGUCAUUGUUGCUUCCUCUCCUCAUGCUGCAGAACAGUUCUUGAAGAAUCAUGAUUUGGUUUUUGCCAGCAGACCGUAUAAUGAAGUUCCUCAGUACAUGUUCUAUGAACGGAGGAAUCUUGUCUCAGCCAAGUACGGACCAUACUGGAGAAACAUGCGCAAAUUGUGCACUUUGCAAUUGCUAAGCAACGCCAAGAUCCAUCAAUUUCAGCCUAUGAGGAAACAAGAAGUCGGAAUUCUUGUGAUUAUGAACGGAGGAAUCUGGUCUCAGCCAAGUACGGACCAUAUUGGAGAAACAUGCGCAAAUUGUGCACUCUGCAAUUGCUAAGCAAUGCCAAGAUCCAUCAAUUUC
rnacentral:lncRNA from 1 species